UACGUAGGGUGCGAGCGUUGUCCGGAAUUACUGGGCGUAAAGAGCUUGUAGGCGGUUUGUCGCGUCGUUUGUGAAAACUUGGGGCUCAACCCCAAGCUUGCAGGCGAUACGGGCAGACUAGAGUACUUCAGGGGGGACUGGAAUUCUCGGUGUAGCAGUGAAAUGCGUAGAUAUCGAGAGGAACACCAGUGGCGAAGGCGAGUCCCUGGACAACACCUGACACUGAGGCACGAAAGCUAGGGGAGCAAACAGG
rnacentral:rRNA from 1 species